GCGCUUAGCUCAGUUGGUAGAGCGUCUGCCUUACAAGCAGAAUGUCGGCGGUUCGAUCCCGUCAGCUGCGCCA
rnacentral:tRNA from 1 species